rnacentral:rRNA from 1 species
GAUGAACGCUCGCGGCAGGCCUAACACAUGCAAGUCGAGGGAGAAGCCCUUUCGGGGGCAGAAACCGGCGCACGGGUGCGUAACGCGUAUGCAACCUACCUUUCACAGGAGGAUAGCCCGAAGAAAUUUGGAUUAAUACCCCAUAAUAUUAUUGGAUGGCAUCAUUUGAUAAUUAAAACUGCGGUGGUGAAAGAUGGGCAUGCGUCCUAUUAGCUAGUUGGAGUGGUAACGGCACCCCAAGGCUACGAUAGGUAGGGGUCCUGAGAGGGAGAUCCCCCACACUGGUACUGAGACAGGGACCAGACUCCUACGGGAGGCAGCAGUGAGGAAUAUUGGUCAAUGGUCGGAAGACUGAACCAGCCAUGCCGCGUGCAGGAAGAAUGCCUUAUGGGUUGUAAACUGCUUUUAUAUGGGAAGAAUAAGGUGUACGUGUACAUUGAUGACGGUACCAUAUGAAUAAGCAUCGGCUAACUCCGUG